GGCCCCACGAGUGAACACGAAACUGCACUGCGGGUGUUUACUGAAGAUAAAAUGUCAGCAGCUUGACCUGACUCCCAGAGGGCCGCCUGGCUCGUUGAUGAAUUACACCUCAGGCGCUGGUUCUGGGACGUGGUUGAGAAAUCAAAGCCAGGGAAAAGGGCACAAAGUGAAACGAGAGACUUUUGAGUCACGUUGUUUCAGUGAGUAAGGUGUCGCUUUUAAAGUGGUUUUCCCUUGACCUGGGAGGGGGGAUGUUGAAUUCUCUGGCCGUGAAUUGAAAAUGUGGCGCCACCUUUCAGAACAGACAGUCCAGGGAUCAAUCAGUCCUGUCGGAGCGAGGGACGGCUGUGAUUAACGUAAGGCAGGGCUCCUAUUGGGUCCAACCUUUCCUGUUUUGCUGUGCUCACUAUUCUGUCAUUGGGCAUUGCUCAGGGUUAGCUCCUGCUGUUUAACAGCGACAGUCCAUGUUCUUCCUGCAGUCAGAAAGCAGCGAUGGCUCUGUGCGUGCUACUCGUCCUUUACUGCUUCUCUCCGGUCCUGGCCAGUUUUGAUUGGAACAACAAGACCUGCUUUGAUGGAACCAUAAACCCGUGCCAAGACCUGCGGUCAGCUGUCAAAUGCGACGCGGUGCACCACUGCGUGAAGACCGUGUGGAGCCAGGCGAAAGUG